UUCUAUGGUAGCGUAUAGCGGGAAAGGUUUCGCCCUUUGCUGUGUUCCUUGUAUCGCAGUUUCUCAGCCCGUUAUACGUUACCGCCCAG
rnacentral:antisense_RNA from 1 species